ensembl:lncRNA
CACUGCAAAUUGUUUAUUAAAACACAAAGCAAUGGACAGUGAAAAACAUCCUGAUUUUUUUUUUUUUUUUUUUUUUACUUUUUGGUGGGAGUGGGGUGGGACGUGGAAGGGAUAGGGACAGAUGGAAACAGCCAGGAAGGAAAGACAGCUCUGUCCGCCCCCACAGCUUGCCCGGGCCAGCCAGGUUCAAAGCCCCUCAAUCACAUCUCGCUAUGUCGCUGCAAAUGCAUAUUGUGGCUACAGACAGAGAGUGGGUUUGGCCUCUGCCAGGAGAAGAUGGGAAUCAAGAGUAGGAGCUACAGGGGUGACUAAGAACCUGACACUAUUCUCCAGUACUUGGUACAGAACAGAGAAGACAGGCCCCUUCUAGAGCGGCGGGGUGGUGGGCUUCCUGACAAGCCAGGGUAGGCCAGUAAUGGUUGCACAAGAGGCUGCCCUCAGCUCUGAAUGAGCAGCUGGUCCGAGCAUGGGAGAACUUGGUGGAAGGGAAAUCCAAGGAGGGAAUGCGUCCAGGGUCAAAUUUCUUUUCAUUCCCUGGAUCAUGACACACCAGGGAAGANNNNNNNNNNNNNNNNNNNNNNNNNNNNGCCUUUCCCUGCCAACCCUCCCCUCCCACCUGGCAACCCAGCCCUCCUUUCCCGACAGUUGUCCUCUAAAAGGACGGAAAGCGCACUUCAGAAUGUUGUUGUUUUUCCUCAUACUGAAAUGAAGCCCUGAAGCUCAAAAUAGAGGCGAGAAUGGAGUUCUGCUGUUCCUGGUACCGUGUGCCCCCACCGCCCAAGCCUGCCUGGAUGCGAGAGGCGCCAGGGCCCUCUCUGCCAACUCCAACAGGCACUACGGUUUCCCUGGCUGCCACCACAAUCCUGGCUCCUGGUUUUUCUACUCCUGGAGGGUUAGUGGGGGUGGAGGUGGGGAGCCCGUCUUCCUCAGAGAGACCCGGGCAAACUGAUGAACAAGGCAAAAUGGAGGCGGCAAGUCCUCCUUCUGCAUCCUGUCUAAUCCACUGGCAGUGGCCUGCGACUCCAGGGAACUGGGAUGGAAUAGGAAGUGGGAACCCCUGUCAGAAGCCCACUCACUAGUCAAGAUGCCCACUGCACCAGGCAGGCGGUCCCCAGGACCAGACAUCCACCUCCAUCAUCCUUUAAUGCCAGGAGCUUUGGCUGAUCACAGCCUCAGGCCACAGCCGUUCAGCUGCCUCCAUGCCCAAAGCCUAAGUCACAGCGAAAACGAAGGGCUACGACUCUCAAAGUACUGAAGGCUGACCUGGAGUCACUCAUUCAGAACCAAAACCCAGGACGUGGGCCCAAGGGCUAUUUAUGUUGUCGAACAUAUGGAGCUCUUGAAAAACAUGUCCAAAAAAGCCAAACUCAAAACUCAACACAUUCUAAAACGCUGGGCCUGGCCCAAGAGUCUAUGCUGCUCCCGCCAAGCAGAGCUGACCCUGUGGCCUGCUAUACACAGAAUUCCUUGUAGCUUGGUGGGUCCUCCCUCACUGCUGCCCUAGCUGGGGAAAGGAUGACGGGGACCAGAAAGAAGGGGGACAGGGAAGCUUCGUUUCCUGCAGAAAUUUUCCCAGGGAAUUCGAGACAGACACCUAGAUGCUAAGGAGCGGCCGCAGAGCUGCCAGGACUGUGGCUGACCAGCAGUCUUCCAGCCCCGUCACACCAAGACCCCAGCUAUGAUGGACAGGGAAAUGAAAGGACAGAGGGGCACACUCUUAAGGUCAGUGAGAGGAACAACUGGGCCAGAACCCAACCAGUCUAGUUCCUUGGGGCAGCUCUAGGCUUAAACCAGAACUGGCUGAACCAGAAGGACGUGGGACAAAAUGAAUGCCGGGUACUAGUUACUCUCAACAGUGGUCAGUCACUUAGUAGGGCUCAAGUCUCUGAGGUUGCUCUUAAGUUAUGCUAACAUAAGCCUUUUCUAAUCCAAAGACCAGAAGAGACUUUUAAGGUCAAGUGUUCUGUUGCUGCAGGCUGGAAAACGUCCCUGUCCCCUGGCAGCGAGACCCUACAAAGGGGCCAGUCAAAGAACUGCUGGGUCAGGUCCUCCGGGCUGCUGGCUCAGAGAUCCAGGGAGGGAGGUACCAGUAAGUUGAGGGGGUGGAGGAUAAGACAUUCAAGCAGAGGGAACCCCAAAUCCCCAUGUCUCCUUCCCUUCUUGGCAAUAACUUAGCAGAAUGGCUGAGAGAGAAGAGAUUUCAAAUGAGCCAGGUUCAGAAAAAGAGAGAGAGAGGAAAUCAAGUCCCCAACAGGCACUGAAAUCAAAAUGACUUGUUGUGAUAAGAAGUCAGAGGCAACUUGAGGACCUGACAUCAACUAAUUGUCUUGGAUACCAGACAGUCCUCUAACUGGCACAUGUCAGGGAGACAAGCAAUGACAAAGCUCAAACACUUAAGGUGGAACUAUCACUGGGCUAAAACCAGAAAGGCUUCCAAGUAGGGAAGCUUCUGCUUUUCUUUCUUUUUAAUCCCCCUCCGUUUUCAUCUUUAUCAUAAAAUUAUACACCUACGCAAGCGCACGCACACGCACGCACACACACGCGCACACACACACACA